rnacentral:rRNA from 1 species
AGUGAACGCUGGCGGUAGGCCUAACACAUGCAAGUCGAACGGCAGCACAGUAAGAGCUUGCUCUUACGGGUGGCGAGUGGCGGACGGGUGAGGAAUACAUCGGAAUCUACUUUUUCGUGGGGGAUAACGUAGGGAAACUUACGCUAAUACCGCAUACGACCUACGGGUUAAAGCAGGGGAUCUUCGGACCUUGCGCGAUUGAAUGAGCCGAUGUCGGAUUAGCUAGUUGGCGGGGUAAAGGCCCACCAAGGCGACGAUCCGUAGCUGGUCUGAGAGGAUGAUCAGCCACACUGGAACUGAGACACGGUCCAGACUCCUACGGGAGGCAGCAGUGGGGAAUAUUGGACAAUGGGCGCAAGCCUGAUCCAGCCAUACCGCGUGGGUGAAGAAGGCCUUCGGGUUGUAAAGCCCUUUUGUUGGGAAAGAAAAGCAGCAGGUUAAUACCCCGCUGUUCUGACGGUACCAAAAGAAUAAGCACCGGCUAACUUCGUG